rnacentral:lncRNA from 1 species
AAGCAGUUGUUUAAAUUGAUGGCUUUGAAUAAGAUAAAUCAGAAAUCAGUACGUAGUGCUUGAAACAUCUUUUUGUUCAGAAAGUUUGCUUCUUGUUCCACACCCCCUCGGAGUAUGACUGGAGGGCAUGGAUUGGAAAUAUGCAGGAAAACGAUGCCACCUGCAGGCGCUGUGCUGAGGGUGCGCUUCUCACCAGGGGCAGCACUGGAAAGGCUGCUGAACUGUCUCACGUCGAUUUGCAGAUGAUGAAGAUACUCGUGCACGCAUACUUCUUGUAUUUCAGCAAGUGAAAGGCAGUGAAACAUGUUAGAGAUCGUUCUUCAAGAACCUCUGUGUUAAUCUUAGCUAGGGAUAAGUGGAAAUGACUCGGAUGAUGCAGGCUCAGUGGAGUAAAACUUCCCUUCUUAUUGCCUUCACAGAAAUAAGGGUGUGCAGCCCUAGCAGUGUCUCAGGACCCUCACGGGCCAAAAUCCAAAUGCUUUGGUGCAUUGUUUUAGGUGUUAGCUGGUGCUUAUCUCAUAAUAAUUGAUAUAUGACAGUAUAGAGCUCUAUUUCCACUGAGGUUGGACUGGUGUGUAGUUCAGAAAACCUGUUUAGGUUUUUAACUGCUUAUUAUUGUGAUUUUAGUUGUGUAUGACUGUGCUCAACUCAAACGUCCCUUGUUGCAUAAACAGUGCAGUAGCAUUGCCAGAAGCAAAGCUGCUUUUGAGUUUGGAAGUAUCUACAAAUCAACUUAGAAAACAGCGAGAAAGCAUUGGAUGGGAAAUGAUUCAAGGAGAACAAAACAAAGUAAUGGAAGACAUGAAUGUGUUGCUAAUUACCUGCCGUUCUGAUUUCUGAAGUAAUUUUUCAUCCAUGAACUAUGUGGUCAAAUGUAGCAGCAAACCAAGAAUGCAUGUUCUAGCUUGUAGGCAUGUUAAAUACUGGGAAUUGAUGUUAUGUCAUUGCUGCUACAGGUUUCCUGUUUAAAAUCAUUGUGCCGUAUCUUGAGGAGAGCUGCUGAAGCUGGAUCGUUCAUCAUAGAUUGUAAUUGCACCAAGAUGAUCUUCACUAGUUCUGCAGACUUAUUUCCACUUGAAAUUGGCCCGUGCUGGUUUUUCUCUGUAUCUGUCUGUGUUGCAUUGGUGAUGUCAGUAAGCACAAGCUGGAAAUGGCAUACAGAUUGUUUUAAUUUGCACCAAGGACAAACUUUGCCUCUAUGA